UGGAGCUGGAGCUCCGGGCCGCAGGGUACAUGUCCACGGCGCGGCGGUGGAGGCGGAGUUCGUGCUGGGUGCUUUCAGGCUGGGGUGAUUUCGCUGUUUACUUCCGGAAUGCGGUGGCAAAGGAGGAUGACGACGACGUGCCGUCGGAGAUUGAGGACAGGGAGGGGAGGAGACCAGAGUACCAGUGUAAAGAUUCUUAGCUUCCCAAGCUCAUCAGCAGAAGGUGUGUGGAUUGAAAGUUAUUCGUCUCACCUUCGGAAGGGAAGAGGAUGAAGUGCCUGAGAAGAAGCCGCGCAUC